rnacentral:lncRNA from 1 species
UUCUAGGGCCGCACCCAUGGCAUGUGGAGGUUCCCAGGCUAGGGGUCUAAUCCAAGCUAUAGCCGCAGGCCUACACCAGGGCCACAGCAACACGGGAUCCAAGCCGCGUCUGCGACCUACACCACAGCUCACGGCAACACUGGAUCCUUAAUCCACUGAGCAAGGCCAGGGAUCGAACCUGCAACCUCAUGGUUCCUAGUUGGAUUCGUUAACCACUGAGCCACGAUGGGAACUCCUACGUUCUUUUUCUUAUAUUAUCUUCCAUCACGGUGUCUGUCCCAAGAGAUUGGAUAUAGUUAUUCCAGCUCUUUAAACUUCCAUUUUCUCAUGUGUCAAAAAGGCAAGGACAAUGAUAAAAAUGAUCCUAAUAAUAUAUCUGCCUUUGGGAAAUUAAAUGAGAAACGGUGCCCGAAGUUGUGCAGGUGUUGAAAACUACUGAGUGAGGCGUUCCUGUCAUGGCUCAGCAGAAACAAAUCUGACUGGUAUCCACGAGGACGUGGGUUCCAUCCCUGGUCUUGCUCAGUGAGUUAAGGAUCUGGCAUUGCCGUGAGCUGUGGUGUAGGUUGCAGAUGUGGCUCGGAUCCCGCAUUGUGUCUGUGGUGUAUCCUGGCAGCUGCAGCUCCAAUUUGACCCCUAGCCUGGGAACCUCCAUAUGCCCUGGGUAUGGCCCUAAAAAGACACACACACGCACACACACAAAAGAAAACUGAGUGAGUGGGAGAUCCGGGCUUCUUCCAGGCCAGAGUUUGAGGAAAGGGAUGAACAGAGUGGUUAGUUACUCAGGAGCAGGCAGGGCUUCCUUGCAGCCAGGAGGCUUGGAGCAUAAGGAUCUAAAGACAGGAUGCCAGGCAAAGACAAAGGUGGGGGCACAGACACCGCCAAAGGAGUACAGUCAGUCAGGGCUGCAUAUUCAGAGGAAAAGUGGAAACAGUGCUAAAACGGAGGAAGCCGUUUAUACGGUGCCAAUGAUGCUGAUGGGUGGGAAAAAUCAAUUAGGACACUACGAUUGUUUAAAUACCACCAAAAAUUGAUUUGUGUCAAGAGCCCUGGAAUUCAGGGCUUGGGUGCCCACUGCACUUGGCUCUGGGCCCCUACCCCAUCUUAUUAAUGGAACUCCUCUCCACCCCGCCCAGGAACCCUGGGAGACUCCUCUUUGUGAGUCCCAAACCCUGCAUCAACUGGGUUUCUGGUGUCUCUGCCCAACUGCCUGCUCCACAUCUCCACUCUGCAUUUAAUGGGCAUCUGAAACGUAACCUGUCAAUGUGAGCGCCUGACUUCUGACUCCUCCCCUAGACCCUACUCCAGCGGCAGCCUUCCCACGGGUCUCGCUGACGCCUCGCUAGGAAACUGCAAUGAGAGAAGAUAACCUUCCAAUGCAGGUUGGAAAAGAUAACAAAAACAGAGAUUUAAGUAAAAAGAGUUAAAAGGCAUCUUUCUCGCAUCCUGCUGUGCUCGCUCCUCUCCCACCGCAUAGGUUAGAAGUGUUUCCAUUAUUAG